AAUUAAGAAAACGAACCGAAAUUAAAUACUUUCAAUUCUUUAUACAAUGCAUCAACAGCCAUCACAAAGCUAGCCUCGAAAAAUCAAUUCUCUCAAAUACUGGGAUCCAAUUUUAAAUGAGCACCUGGUUCAAAACCAAGAGACUACAGACGAAGUAGGCGGAGACGAAACUUAAGAGUUGGUAUCAAUAAAACGCGCACUCUCAAUCUCAACAUAACACAAGAGGAAUCGUUUGUCUGCUAGGCAAUAAACAUUAUGAAGUCUUCGUUUUUGGAGAUCAGGCGUAAAGGCGUGCAACCGCUUCCUGGGUCCUACCUCAGUCUGUAACAAAACAGUUGUUUUCAAGGUUCUAAAAGCGGGCUCACACCUCAUCAGCAAACCGCCAGACAACCUCUAUGU